CUCCGUAUAAAAACAAGGGACGUAAAACCUAUUCUGUGUGCCUGUAUAUACAUGUACAUUCAGCGUGACAUUCUUUGUUUACCCGUUGUUUCCGAAGAGCUUCAUACAGUCAUGCAAUAAAUAGAACAUUAAAAAUGAAAUAAGUCAUUUGAGGUCAUAAUGUGCCCUUUGUGCUACAGGCAUGUUAAUCCCAAGUGAAACCUGGAUUGUGUUUGGCCGAAAAUAGGAAAUUAUAAACAAAGUCGCGGAAGUUUUAUUUGUUUAGUGUCUGAAACCGUUUGUGUAUAUCAGCGGCUGUUUGCGAAGUGCAUGCUUAUUUGCAUCGGGACGCGCACAAGACAGAUCUUACAGCAGUGAAAUCGCAGAGUUAUAUACAAUGAGAACGUUGGCGCUGCUAUUGUUACUGUGCUUUGUGGCGGUGGAGCGAGUGCAUACGAGAAGUACCACUUCCGGUGGACCGCAGGUUGAGUCCCAGGAUGAUGACGUCAUAGGUUUUUACCAGGAUGAUGACACUUUUGACUUCACAAUUGAAGACGAAGAUGACGUCGCGGACGAUGAUGAAGCCGCAGAUAUGGAAAUCGGAAAAACAAAAUGUCACAGAGGAAUUUGUAAGAUAUGCCACCGUUACCGAAAAAUAAAAGCCUGUGUUGUUGCCAAGGCAACUAGGAGAGGAAUGGGUCUUGGGCUUGUUGUCAACCACCACAUCAUCCUAAAGGGAAGGCUAAGAAAUGGACAUCCGAUUUGCUCGCGUCACGUGCCCAGGUUCCCGGCUGUGAAGUCAGUGUGCCUGGUACCCAGUUAUGUUGACACGCGGAAGCAGGCCGCGUGCGUCAACGUCACUGCUGAGGUUCGCGACCGGAAGUACAACCGCUGUGUGGGAUGCUUCAGAAUCCCUCGAGACGACAGUGAGGCACUUCCGGAACUCCAAAGCCUGUUCACUGCAUUAUCGCAGGGCUUUGUGACUUCCGGUGACGCAACAUCCGGUGGUGACGCCAUAACUGACGACAGGAAAAUCGACGACGAGACAUUACGGCUCGAGGGACAUUUAUAAUCCGACGCGUCCAAUUUGACAGAGUGCUUUAUGCUGAAAAAUGCCUUCACAUGUUUGACUUUGAAUAUUGCUGUAUGAUAAACAUAAAGUGAACGCGUCAUUAUAUUUGAUGAUAACAAAGCAAUAAAAAGUUA